rnacentral:lncRNA from 1 species
AGUUCUCAGGCGAGAGCCGCGGCUGACAGGGUCUGGGACAGAAGGAAAGCCCUCCAGCCUCCAGGCCCUGCCUUCUGCCUGCACAUUCUGCCCUGAUUUCCGGAACCUGGAAGCCUAGGCAGGCAGUGGGGAACUCUGACUCGCCUGUGCUCUGGAGCUUGAUCCGAAAGCUUCCACAGUGAGGACUGCUCCGUGGGGGUAAGAGAGCACCAGGCACUGAGGCCUGGGAGUUCCACAGACCAACACCCCUGCUCCUGGCGGCUCCCACCCGGGACUUAGACCCUCAGGUCCCUAAUAUCCCGGAGGUGCUCUCAAUCAGAAAGGUCCUGCUCCGCUUCGCAGUGGAAUGGAACGGAUUUAGAAGCCUGCAGUAGGGGAGUGGGGAGUGGAGAGAGGGAGCCCAGAGUUACAGACGGCGGCGAGAGGAAGGAGGGGCGUCUUUAUUUUUUUAAGGCCCCAAAGAGUCUGAUGUUUACAAGACCAGAAAUGCCACGGCCGCGUCCUGGCAGAGAAAAGGCUGAAAUGGAGGACCGGCGCCUUCCUUAUAAGCUCGUUGGGGCCUAAGCCAGUACCGACCUGGUAGAAAAAGCAACCACGAAGCUAGAGAGAGAGCCAGAGGAGGGAAGAGAGCGCCAGACGAAGGUGAAAGCGAACCACGCAGAGAAAUGCAGGCAAGGGAGCAAGGCGGCAGUUCCCGGAACAAACGUGGCAGAGGGCAAGACGGGCACUCACAGACAGAGGUUUAUGUAUUUUUAUUUUUUAAAAUCUGAUUUGGUGUUCCAUGAGGAAAAGGGAAAAUCUAGGGAACGGGAGUACAGAGAGAAUAAUCCGGGUCCUAGCUCGCCACAUGAACGCCCAGAGAACGCUGGAAAAACCUGAGCGGGUGCCGGGGCAGCACCCGGCUCGGGUCAGCCACUGCCCCACACCGGGCCCACCAAGCCCCGCCCCUCGCGGCCACCGGGGCUUCCUUGCUCUUCUUAUCAUCUCCAUCUUUAUGAUGAGGCUUGUUAACAAGACCAGAGAGCUGGCCAAGCACCUCUAUCUCAGCCGCGCCCGCUCAGCCGAGCAGCGGUCGGUGGGGGGACUGGGAGGCGCUAAUUAAUUGAUUCCUUUGGACUGUAAAAUAUGGCGGCGUCUACACGGAACCCAUGGACUCAUAAACAAUAUAUCUGUUGGGCGUGAGUGCACUGUCUCUCAAAUAAUUUUUCCAUAGGCAAAUGUCAGAGGGUUCUGGAUUUUUAGUUGCUAAGGAAAGAUCCAAAUGGGACCAAUUUUAGGAGGCCCAAACAGAGUCCGUUCAGUGUCAGAAAAUGCUUCCCCAAAGGGGUUGGGAGUGUGUUUUGUUGGAAAAAAGCUUGGGUUAUAGGAAAGCCUUUCCCUGCUACUUGUGUAGACCCAGCCCAAUUUAAGAAUUACAAGGAAGCGAAGGGGUUGUGUAGGCCGGAAGCCUCUCUGUCCCGGCUGGAUGCAGGGGACUUGAGCUGCUCCGGAAUUUGAGAGGAACAUAGAAGCAAAGGUCCAGCCUUUGCUUCGUGCUGAUUCCUAGACUUAAGAUUCAAAAACAAAUUUUUAAAAGUGAAACCAGCCCUAGCCUUUGGAAGCUCUUGAAGGUUCAGCACCCACCCAGGAAUCCACCUGCCUGUUACACGCCUCUCCAAGACACAGUGGCACCGCUUUUCUAACUGGCAGCACAGAGCAACUCUAUAAUAUGCUUAUAUUAGGUCUAGAAGAAUGCAUCUUGAGACACAUGGGUAACCUAAUUAUAUAAUGCUUGUUCCAUACAGGAGUGAUUAUGCAGUGGGACCCUGCUGCAAACGGGACUUUGCACUCUAAAUAUAGACCCCAGCUUGGGACAAAAGUUGCAGUAGAAAAAUAGACAUAGGAGAACACUUAAAUAAGUGAUGCAUGUAGACACAGAAGGGGUAUUUAAAAGACAGAAAUAAUAGAAGUACAGAAGAACAGAAAAAAAAUCAGCAGAUGGAGAUUACCAUUCCCAAUGCCUGAACUUCCUCCUGCUAUUAAGAUUGCUAGAGAAUUGUGUCUUAAACAGUUCAUGAACCCAGAAGAAUGCAAUUUCAAUGUAUUUAGUACACACACAGUAUGUAUAUAAACACAACUCACAGAAUAUAUUUUCCAUACAUUGGGUAGGUAUGCACUUUGUGUAUAUAUAAUAAUGUAUUUUCCAUGCAGUUUUAAAAUGUAGAUAUAUUAAUAUCUGGAUGCAUUUUCUGUGCACUGGUUUUAUAUGCCUUAUGGAGUAUAUACUCACAUGUAGCUAAAUAGACUCAGGACUGCACAUUCCUUGUGUAGGUUGUGUGUGUGUGGUGGUUUUAUGCAUAAAUAAAGUUUUACAUGUGGUGAA